UACGUAGGGUGCAAGCGUUGUCCGGAAUUAUUGGGCGUAAAGAGCUCGUAGGCGGUUUGUCGCGUCUGCUGUGAAAACCCGAGGCUCAACCUCGGGCCUGCAGUGGGUACGGGCAGACUAGAGUGCGGUAGGGGGAGAUUGGAAUUCCUGGUGUAGCGGUGGAAUCGCAGAUAUCAGGAGGAACACCAAUGGCGAAGGCAGCUCGCUGGGGACGGUACUGACGCUGAGACGCGAAAGCGUGGGGAGCAAACAGG
rnacentral:rRNA from 1 species